rnacentral:lncRNA from 1 species
AAACCGUCGUGAUCACCUCAGUGCAUCUCCGUCACGCACCAUUUUUUCCAUCAGUUGUCUCCUUCAAUCGGAAAUCAGGUCUUGGUUGCUCAAAGUUAGGAAAGUGCUAGAAAAUAUGCUGAAAAGAGUUAGCAACGAGAACCGUGUCGUGACGCAGCUGAACGGGAACUGAAAACGAAUAAAAUCUGGAAAAGGGGCCUAUCGCCGUAGGGGUGUUCAAAAAACUCGUGGCUCGCAGCUCGCUCGAAAAAAGCUCGAAGAAAGCUCGGCUCGAAAUUGGCUCGGCAGUAAACGAGCCAGCUCGGCUCGGCUCGAUUUGUAAACGAGCCGAGCUCGAGCUUGUCCUGGCUUGGCUCGUGAGCUCGUGAGCUAGCUCGAUAAGGUUUACAUCCUUCAUUUUUUUGUCCCACAUAGCUUACAAAACAAAAAGAAAGGGAGUAUCUCCACUAUAAAAGAAGCGCGAAGGGGUUGAAGUUCGCUGCAGAGUCGUUUUGGAGCUGGGAAACUUGCUGAAAUUAUAUAUAAUCAUCAAAGAACUACACAUUAACCCUAAUUACGAAAUUGCAUAAGCUUGGACGAAUUACUAGUUGAAGUUUAAGCCUUUCGGAGCGUUUUUGAGAGCUUGAAUCCGGUUGAAGGUUUGAAGCCAAGACAAGCAUUCGGGUCGUGUUUUGCCAUCCGGGUUUCUUAUAUCUUUGUUUCUUGUUCUUUGAUCAUGUUUCUAGUUUACAAAAAUACUCUUUUGUUGACGUUUUUAAUGACUAUGAUCGGCUAAGUUUAUUUUCUGCCUAGACUGUGAUGAUGGGAUUGUAAAGUUUUGAACUUUAUUAUGUUUAUUUAAUUAUUAUGGAUUUUUGCAAAGGUAGUCGACUUGGUUUAUUGGUUUGAUGUGUGAAUAUUUUUCAUGGAAUAGAUUCAUUCUAUAUUAUAGAUUUAUGUUAUAA